rnacentral:lncRNA from 1 species
UAAUGUAAUUAGGCCACAAAAAUAGAGAAAACCAGUGGCUUCUGGUUUAUUUUUUGAUUUUCUAGUAGGAAAUACCCCUAAUCCUUGAUGUUCUCUUGCAUAUAUUUUCCAAAGAGCACCAUGUGAAGCCAGAUUUUUAUUGACUGGUCUUUGUUUCUCAACAUGAGGGGAAAAAUGGGGAUAGGGCAUUGUCCUGGUUGGAGCUUUUUUUCCCCUCUCUUCAAUGAAAGGGAAAGGAAAAAAACAUUCAUUUGAGUUCAGAGCUAACUAUGUUUGUUGAUCAUUUAGCAUUUCUGUAUCCAGGAUCUAAUCUUACGAUUAAUGGUAGGAAAAGCUGGGGCUCUGGAGUUAUGCUCAGAAUCUGCCUUUCCUGUGCUGCGGAGUGGAAGGAAGGGAUGGCUGCAAAGCGGGUAAACGUGUGCAGAACUUCCUAAAGCAUGCUCAGGUGCACCCCACUUCCCGCUUCCAGGCGGCUGCUCCUGUGAAUUUGGGCAUUACAUUUAAUUUCUGUGUUCCAUGUUACCAUGAUUUGUUGAUUAUCAUUUUGGAAAUUUUCAAGUUUGGGUUUUGGUGUUUGGUCUCUAUA